AGAUUCCAGAAGAAGCCUUCAAGCCACGAAGCCCGACGACAUCGAACCAUGUAGUUCACUCGCACAGCACCAUCACUGUCGCUGCCAUACAGGGCUUUCCUCUUUCGGCUUUUCAGGAAGCGUACACAGCUCGGCAUCGGCUGUCGGGGCGAAAGAGGACCAGGAACUGGCAGUGGAUUUCAUCAGUAUUUGCUAGAUAAAUGGAGGUAAAAGCGUGGAAUGAAAAGCAGAAUAGAAUUGAUGAUAAAGUGGAAGCAUGGCUGCAUUCUCCCAAACCGAAGGGGAUCGAGUUAUGCGUAGAACACCUUACCGCCGAACUUACCACACUCAUGGCGAAUAAGGGAGGCCACAAGGGACUUCGGUAGGGUCAAAGAAGACACAUGAAGAGAGGAAAGGAAUUCAGAACAAAGGAAAACCGCCCAUAGGAAGACCCAGACAAAUGACCCUCCUUACCCAGGGGCCAAAGUCCGCGCGAGCUACCGUGGUGUAGGAGAGUGCUGUGGGUCUGAGGUGGGGUGCUGACUGCGCCUACUGUAGUCUCGUACGACCUGCAAGAUCAGAGCAAUGGAGGUACAGGUAAAGUACAAAGUGCAGAAAGAUAUGAAAAAUCAGAUAUUUACUUUUAUAUUUAUUACGGGAGUGACUGUUGCUGCUGCUGCUACGUCUGAAAAAUGAGGUGCGAGUAUAUCAGUUUCUGUUACAGGAAUAGCUGUGCUUAUAAAGAAGCUCAGGCAAACAGUUGAACUUCAUUAUACGUCCGAGAGGGUUGCACAGAAAUGAACUUGGAAAAUAGCAACUGAAGAACAACAGAACAUAAAUCAGAGAACCGUUCUACGCAAAAAAUCUAUAUUUCGAAAUGCUUCCUGCACAUAAAAAGUGACUGAAAAGUGCAUUCAACUUACCUCUCAUUUACCAGAAGGGAUAAGCCUGAAAUCAUAGAAGAAUGGAGUCGAGGAAAGAUACAGCCCUUGUUUUUGUAGGAUUACAGUGCCAACUGGCUCGACUCGUUAUUCCAAAACAUUCUAUCUUCUGAUUGUACAUUCACAUGAAUCUUAAUCUUAAUCUCUCUCUCUCUCUCGCUCUCGCUCUCUCGCUCU